rfam:Triticum aestivum genome assembly, contig: Triticum_aestivum_CS42_TGACv1_scaffold_503155_6BL
AAUAUACUCCCUCUGUCAAAAAAAGCUUGUCUCAAUCUUGUACAUCAAAUGGAUGUAUCUAGCACUAACUUGAUGCGAGAUACAUCCAUUUAAGGGACAAGCUUUUUCGGACGGAGGGAGUACAUU